ACUCAGUGUCAUGAGGGAGGCUUCUCCUUCCUGUGAGCAGUAAUCAGCUCGCUAGCAAAUCUCCGUGUGCUCCUGCAUAUGUGAGGACACCUCCUUUCUUUGUUGCUGGCUUCAGGAAUGCAGCAAUCAGACGUGCAUCAAAAAUAAUUGUAUUCAAAUGAAGAUAGCGAGGAUUUUCUGAGUGCUGCUGACUGCUGUCUGGGACGGAAUGCCUCCUGCUGUGUGCUGUAUGUACUUCACCUCACAGAAGAAAACUCCAGACAAUGGGAGCUGCCUGGAUCCAGCACUGGAAGGACGAAGGACUUUGAGUUCAGCCCACACGGUCAGCCUGAGGACGUGGUGUGAGCAAGGACUGAAUAGCAGCUGCAACCUGAAGUCCUCUGCUAGAGAGAAGCCCUCGAGCCAGCUGAGCACUGCUGAGCUUUCAUCUGCAAGCAUACCUGGGGCUAUGUUGGUUUUAGCUGCAAUGCCACGAGAUGCUAUUGCUGCAAUUGCUCUUUUCACCUAGCUGCCCAGCAGCAAGAACAAUGCAAGUUUACAGGGCUGUGAUAGCCAUGGGGCUGGGAGGUAUCCACUCUGCCAUCCCUAAAGGGGUGCUGUUAACCUGUCAGAGCCCAACAUGAAACAAGGAGCAUCUACCCCGCCCUUGAAAUUGCUAAGCUUAUUAUAGGAACUAGGGGAGCUGCUGAGUUAGACCUGCCUGGCUUUGUUUGGGACCAAUGCCUUCCUAGCUGUGGCAGCAGAAACCUCUGCCUUAGGCAUCCACGUACGGAUCUGGGCUUUGGGACAGGAUCUGCAUGAAGCCAGCUUGGUUAAGCCGCAGUCAUGACCUGAAGGGCCAUGUGGCAGUUUGCACUGCUAACCUCUCAACAGAGCAAUCUGUGAGGUUCAUUGCUUUGCCAGGUAUUUCCACAGAGCUCUCCAGGACUCGUUCUUAUUCUCCGGUCAUUGUGAGUGAGGACAAAUUCCAGUUGAAUGAGUAGUCUUAAAUGAUUUUAAGGAUCAGAUAAAUUAGCAAAAUUACAGAAGCUGGGCUUCUUUGCAAGCACUGAUUCAUAUGUACUCGAAUCUGUGUAUGAUUUCAUUGUCAGAAAAAACUAACUUACAGCAAUGUCAUAACAAUGAAAAUGCACUGUUGCAAAGCUGAAGCAAAGCAUAUAAUAUGUGUAAAUCUAUCCUAAAACAUUUUUGUCUUCAUUUCACAGCUAGAUAUUACAGUUGUGUGUGGCUGAACGUAUAUUAGAUUGUCAUCACUAAAUGCUAAGAGCAUGAUCCAGAUGUGAUCCUGGUUGCAAACGGAUGUUAGCCGUAAAUCCCCGAGGCUAUCUUGUUAUACAGUUCCUUGGUAUUAUGUUCGGGGUUUAUUGAAAAUGUCUAGGUCCUCUUAUUUUAUUUUUUUUUUCUCGGAAAUGCUGGUCACUGUACAUCACAUUGAUUUACUUGGAGGAGUGGUUACUCAAUAAAAGGAUUGGUAACUCUGUCCAUAUUAUGAAUGAGGAAAAGAAAAAAAAAA